rnacentral:rRNA from 1 species
GAUGAACGCUGGCGGCGUGCCUAAUACAUGCAAGUCGAGCGAACAGACGAUGAUCUUGCUGCUUUGACGUUUGCCGCGGACGUGUGAGUAACACGUGGAUAACCCACCUAUAAUACUGGUAUAACUUCGGGAAUCCGGAUCUAAUCCCGGAUAACAUGCUGCACCGUAUGGUUCAACAGUGAAAGACGGCUUUUCUGUCACUUAUCGCUGGAUACGCGCCGCAUUAGCUAGUUGGUAGGGUAACGGCCUACCAAGGCAACGAGGCGUAGCCGACGGGAGAGGGGGAUAGGCCACAUGGGAAGUGAGACAGGGUCAAGACGACUAAGGGAGGGAGCAGUAGGGAAUCGGCGGCAAUGGGCGAAAGCCUGACGGAGCAAGGCCGAGUGAGUGAAGAAGGUGUUCGGAUCGUAAAAAUCGGUUAUGAGGGAAGAACAGAUGUGGAAGGAAAUAUACACGGCUUGACGGUACCUAAUCAGAAAGCCACGGCUAACUACGUG